CUCAUCUUUCUUCUCUCUUAUUUUUCGUCGUACCUCCCAUACCAUCACCUUCUUCAUCGUCACAGAGAGGGAUACCACCACCAUGAAUCAUGAAUCCAAAAUAAUCACCAUACAGUUCUCAAUCAUCUUCUUCUUCUUUUAUUUUUUUAGUUCUUCUUCUGUUACUUCUUAUUUUUUCACAGGAUUCAAUAGGAGUAAGACGGAGGAAUUGGUGAAGAAUAAUUGAAGUUAGGAUUUGAAGAUUUGAAGCUCAAUAGGCGUGGAAGAAGACGAUGAUUCAAAGUAUUUGAAUGAUGAAAUUUACAGGGUCCUGGUAAUGAAAAUGAAAACUGAAUUAGAUCUGAAGAGGUGUUUUUUUGUGUGCAAUUUUGUGCAAUUUUUUUGAUUAUGUGUAAAUCUGAUUAGUAAGACUUUUGAUUAUAUGUAAAUCUGAAAAAAAAUGUCAGUAACUAUUUAGAUCUCAA